GUAAGGUCCUCAUAUGAUUAUGCACCAUUCUUCAUUUAAAUUGUUCGGCAAUUUUUAAUUCAUAUGAAAUUUGAGAAGGGCAGGCACGUGUUACCUGUACCCAAAAGGAGGAUUGUGUUUUCGAUAAAAAAAAAUUAGAAAAAAAAUGUAUAUUAUAUACAACAAAAAAAGGGGGGAUACCCAAACCCUGGUGUCUUAUUCCAGUCCAGGCAUAUCAGUAUGUUCAUAGAUCUGCGUUGUAGUAUAACUUAAAAAUAAUGCAUCCAAGCAAGUUUGAUAUAGUAUUUUUUCCGAAUGCGUUUUGCCUCCAUAAUUAAGGUAAAUGGGGGUAAAUCAUCAAUUUCACUUUAAUUUCAGGCUUAUUCCUCACAGUAAACAUGUAUACGCUAUUGUUCUGGAAUCACUCCUAAAGACAUUUGUUUAAGGCAAUCACAUUCUCUCUGGUUUUCUCUAUGACAUCUUUAAAUAUGAAUCACGAUCUCCAAUUCUCAACACGUCCAUUGCAUACGCGCGUGUGUUAUCCGACACCGCGUGUGUUAUCCGACACCUUCAUCCGGGACACUUUCCACAUCACAUGACACUUUUAUUGAUAUUGAAUAUUUGCGCAUCCGCAGACGGAUGGCCGGACGAAUAGAGAUUUUUAACUAUUCGUCCGGCUAGCCGGACGAAUAGACAC
rnacentral:lncRNA from 1 species